rnacentral:rRNA from 1 species
UUUGAUCCUGGCUCAGAGCGAACGCUGGCGGCAGGCUUAACACAUGCAAGUCGAGCGGGCGUAGCAAUACGUCAGCGGCAGACGGGUGAGUAACGCGUGGGAACAUACCUUUUGGUUCGGAACAACACAGGGAAACUUGUGCUAAUACCGGAUAAGCCCUUACGGGGAAAGAUUUAUCGCCGAAAGAUUGGCCCGCGUCUGAUUAGCUAGUUGGUGAGGUAAUGGCUCACCAAGGCGACGAUCAGUAGCUGGUCUGAGAGGAUGAUCAGCCACAUUGGGACUGAGACACGGCCCAAACUCCUACGGGAGGCAGCAGUGGGGAAUAUUGGACAAUGGGCGCAAGCCUGAUCCAGCCAUGCCGCGUGAGUGAUGAAGGCCCUAGGGUUGUAAAGCUCUUUUGUGCGGGAAGAUAAUGACGGUACCGCAAGAAUA